UACGUAGGGGGCAAGCGUUGUCCGGAUUUAUUGGGCGUAAAGAGCGUGUAGGCGGCCAGGUAGGUCCGUUGUGGAAACUCGAGGCUCAACCUCGAGACGUCGGCGGAAACCCUCUGGCUAGAGUCCGGAAGAGGAGAGUGGAAUUCCUGGUGUAGCAGUGAAAUGCGUAGAUAUCAGGAGGAACACCGAUGGCGAAGGCAGGUCUCUGGGCUGACACUGACGCUCAUGCACGAAAGCGUGGGGAGCAAACAGG
rnacentral:rRNA from 1 species